rnacentral:lncRNA from 1 species
UCUGUUAUUAGAAAUAGAGGAGGAUUCCGUGCCAAUCCUGAUUAUAGUCAGUUUCAUUCAGCUUUAAGAGCUGUAAUAAUCCACAAUUUAAUUAAAUCUAGUAAAUUUAUAAAUUGUGAAGAUGAUGAUGAACUGCUAACAGAUAUAUUUAAAAAGCAUAUAUUUACUCCAAAUCAUAUUUGUGAUGAUACUUUAAUUGAAACAUCAUCUAUUUCUUUAUCUUCCUGUAAAGAAAUGGGUGGUAUUGAUUUCAUGGAACAAAAUGCAAUGACUUAUUUUGCUGGAUAUUUGGCCAACAAGACUGUAUCAGCUAUAAAAAAUUGUUUAAAUUGUAAACAGCUGUUAACUGGAAGAGGUUUUCUAGAAGAAAAUACAAUGCUAUUGUUUUUAAAGAAUAUGAUAACUGUGAUAGCUGUGAAUGAUUUACCCUUUGAUUUUGAUCUCUUUUAGAGAAAAAUAAUAUCAGUAGAUUGUUAUAUAGCCG